rnacentral:rRNA from 1 species
GGGCCAAUAGACAUGCAGUCGAACGGACUUAAUUCAUUCUUUUAGAUUGGAAGCGGUUAGUGGCGGACUGGUGAGUAACGCGUGAGCAACCUGCCUAUUAGAGGGGAAUAACAGUGAGAAAUCAUUGCUAAUACCGCAUAUGCUUACACUAUUGCAUGAUAGAGUAAGGAAAGGAGCAAUCCGCUAAUAGAUGGGCUCGCGUCUGAUUAGCUAGUUGGUGGGGUAGAAGCCUACCAAGGCGACGAUCAGUAGCCGGACUGAGAGGUUGAACGGCCACAUUGGGACUGAGAUACGGCCCAGACUCCUACGGGAGGCAGCAGUCGGGAAUAUUGCGCAAUGGAGGGAACUCUGACGCAGUGACGCCGCGUAUAGGAAGAAGGUUUUCGGAUUGUAAACUAUUGUCGUUAGGGAAGAAAAAAGACAGUACCUAAGGAGGAAGCCCCGGCUAACUAUGUGCCAGCAGCCGCGGUAAUACAUAGGGGGCAAGCGUUAUCCGGAAUUAUUGGGUGUAAAGGGUGCGUAGACGGGUGUUUAAGUUGGUUGUGAAAUCCCUCGGCUCAACUGAGGAACUGCAACCAAAACUGGAUAUCUUGAGUGCAGAAGAGGAGAGUGGAACUCCAUGUGUAGCGGUGGAAUGCGUAGAUAUAUGGAAGAACACCAGUGGCGAAGGCGGCUCUCUGGUCUGCAACUGACGCUGAGGCUCGAAAGCAUGGGUAGCGAACAGGAUUAGAUACCCUGGUAGUCCAUGCCGUANACGAUGAGUGCUAAGUGUUGGGAGGUUUCCGCCUCUCAGUGCUGCAGCUAACGCAUUAAGCACUCCGCCUGGGGAGUACGACCGCAAGGUUGAAACUCAAAGGAAUUGACGGGGGCCCGCACAAGCAGUGGAGUAUGUGGUUUAAU